rnacentral:siRNA from 1 species
AUUCGGAUCCUACAAAUUCUUGAA